AGAGUUUGAUCCUGGCUCAGAUUGAACGCUGGCGGCAGGCUUAACACAUGCAAGUCGAGCGGAGUGAUGGUGCUUGCACCAUCACUUAGCGGCGAACGGGUGAGUAAUGCCUAGGAAUCUGCCCAUUAGCGGGGGACAACGUGUGGAAACGCACGCUAAUACCGCAUACGCCCUACGGGGGAAAGCAGGGGACUCUUUUAGAGCCUUGCACUAAUGGAUGAGCCUAGGUCGGAUUAGCUAGUUGGUGGGGUAAAGGCCUACCAAGGCGACGAUCUGUAGCGGGUCUGAGAGGAUGAUCCGCCACACUGGAACUGAGACACGGUCCAGACUCCUACGGGAGGCAGCAGUGGGGAAUAUUGGACAAUGGGCGCAAGCCUGAUCCAGCCAUGCCGCGUGUGUGAAGAAGGCCUUUUGGUUGUAAAGCACUUUAAGCGAGGAGGAGGCUACCUGUAUUAAUACUAUAGGAUAGUGGACGUUACUCGCAGAAUAAGCACCGGCUAACUUUGUGCCAGCAGCCGCGGUAAUACAGAGGGUGCGAGCGUUAAUCGGAAUUACUGGGCGCAAAGCGCGCGUAGGCGGUUUGUUAAGUCGGAUGUGAAAUCCCCGGGCUCAACCUGGGAAUUGCAUUCGAUACUGGCAAGCUAGAGUAUGGGAGAGGAAGGUAGAAUUCCAGGUGUAGCGGUGAAAUGCGUAGAGAUCUGGAGGAAUACCGAUGGCGAAGGCAGCCUUCUGGCCUAAUACUGACGCUGAGGUGCGAAAGCAUGGGGAGCAAACAGGAUUAGAUACCCUGGUAGUCCAUGCCGUAAACGAUGUCAACUAGCCGUUGGGGGAUUUGAUCCUUUAGUGGCGCAGCUAACGCGAUAAGUUGACCGCCUGGGGAGUACGGUCGCAAGACUAAAACUCAAAUGAAUUGACGG
rnacentral:rRNA from 1 species